GACGAACGCUGGCGGCGUGCUUAACACAUGCAAGUCGAACGGAGAGGCCCUGCUCUUGUGGGGUGCUCGAGUUGCGAACGGGUGAGUAACACGUGAGUAACCUGCCCUUGACUUGGGGAUAACUUCAGGAAACGGGGGCUAAUACCGCAUAGGAGCUCCUGCUGCAUGGUGUUGGUUGGAAAGGUUCGGCGGUUGGGGAUGGACUCGCGGCUUAUCAGCUUGUUGGUGGGGUAGUGGCUUACCAAGGCUUUGACGGGUAGCCGGCCUGAGAGGGUGACCGGCCACAUUGGGACUGAGAUACGACCCAGACUCCUACGGGAGGCAGCAGUGGAGAAUAUUGCACAAUGGGCGGAAGCCUGAUGCAGCGACGCCGCGUGCGGGAUGACGGCCUUCGGGUUGUAAACCGCGUUCGCCUGUGACGAAGCGUGAGUGACGGUAAUGGGUAAAGAAGCACCGGCUAACUACGUG
rnacentral:rRNA from 1 species